rnacentral:tRNA from 1 species
GGUAGCUCAGCUGGGAGAGCGCUUGCAUGGCAUGCAAGAGGUCAGCGGUUCGAUCCCGCUUAGCUCCACCA